rnacentral:rRNA from 14 species
CAAAGGGCUGCAAUACCGUAAGGUGGAGCGAAUCCCAAAAAGCUGGUCUCAGUUCGGAUCGGGGUCUGCAACUCGACCCCGUGAAGUCGGAGUCGCUAGUAAUCGCAGAUCAGCAACGCUGCGGUGAAUACGUUCCCGGGCCUUGUACACACCGCCCGUCAAGUCACGAAAGUCGGUAACGCCCGAAGCCGGUGGCCCAACCCCUUGUGGGAGGGAGCUGUCGAAGGUGGGACUGGUGAUUGGGACUAAGUCGAAACAAGGUAGCCGUACCGGAAGGUGCGGCUGGAUCACCUCCUU